CUUCUGUCACAUUAAUGGUGGAAAAAGUUGUAAAAUUAUUUAUUUUGGUCUAAAUUCUUUUGCAUCACAAAAACCUGGCAUUUGAAAAGAGCCACCACGUGAACCACCAGCUGCACGCGAUGAAACAUCAAGGAACUCUACAAGGGACAGACUGGCUGCAGUAAUUCCACCGCCGGGGAAAUGGAGUGGCUGGGACUUUGGUGUGGCCAACACAACCUGGAGCUGAACAACGGUGCUCAAAGCGGUAGAGAAGAUUGUGGAUUUCAGGAAACAUGCUUCACCACAGCUGCCCCUUACGCUGUCCAACUGCCCUGUGUCACCUGUCAAGACUUUCAGGUUCCUGGGAAUUACAGUUUCUCAGGACUUGAAGUGGGAGACCAACAUCAACUCCAUCCAUAAAAAGACCCAGCAAAGGAUAUACUUACUGCGGCGUCUGAGGAAGCACGGACUGCCACAGGAGCUGUU